GAUGGAAGUUACUGUGCACCAUUUCGUUUUUCGGACUCUUUAAAGAUCGCCUUUUGGAUCAAGUGUUGUGCGUGAAUGUAUAAUGGCUCAGAUGUCGGGAGUAAAUGAUGACUGCAAUGAUCAUUAUUACAUCAUAGUCAACACAAUGGCCAUCAGAGUCGGACUGUUCACAGCUCAGUCAGGACGGGUCUAAGAAAGCAGCGAGUGACUGACAGCCCCACAGAGGAGCACGCCUGGACACCCACUUUCAAGUACACGAGAGCAGCACCGAGCACCAGCCACGCCAACACCGGCUUUUC